AUUAUAUGGGGAAAAUAAACCUUAUUCAAACAUUUAGAGAGUGAUGAUGCAAUGCUGCUGGUAAGGACAUCAAAAAGGCAAGAGCCAGCCUUAGGUCUAUCAACAGUACAACCCAGCAGACUGCCCAUUUCAUCUCAGUUCAGUGUGAGGUGUGACGACUGCCUGAAUAUAUAAAGGUUUUUUUUUCCUUGGAGCAUCAAUAAAAGUCUGGG